AUGUUUACUUGUGUUCUUCUAUUAUUGACUGUAACUGAAGGUUACAGAGCUAAAGAAGUCAUCAGUCCGUACAGAGAUGUAAUGUUUGCCACUGAAUCUGAGAAUGUGACACUGUCUUGUAACUACACUGGUUCUGUUGAUAGUCUUCACUGGUAUCGUCAAUAUGCUGCUUCACCACCACAGUUUCUUAUACUGGAUUAUACUGGAGUUAUAAUUGAAGCUGUUCCUCCAGUUUCUGGAAUCUCCAUCAAACACAGAAAAGUAGAGAAGAGUGUUGAUCUGAAGAUCUCUUCUGUUAAAGUCACAGACUCUGCUCUGUAUUACUGCAGUGUCGUGGAGAAGAUAAAAUUGAUCAGCCAGACAAACAAAUCUCUGAAUCUGAAGGAGGAUCAGUAA